CCCCCGAGGGGCCGGGGCAGCUCCCACUCCUCUCUCCUGGGCAGGAUUUGCUCUUCCGCCUCCGCGGGAACGGCGAUUUCUGGCUCGGGCUGCGCAGACGGGGCGAGCGCCUGCACUGGGGGGACGGCAGCAGCUACAGCUCCCGGGUUCCUGUCCUCGGCAAUUCUGAGUGUGUGUACUUGGCUGAAGGGAAAAGAUUCAGGAGUGAGAUGUGCUCAAGUGAGCGGCCGUAUGUCUGCAGCAAGGCCCAAGCUCCCCUGUAACAGGGGCUGCACAAAGGACCUUCUCCACGCUGGGCAAUGCCAGCUUCACCUCUGAGCCCAGCACAGCGCUGUCCUUCCUCAGCUGCGCCCUGUGCCUGGCACUUCCUCUCAGGGUCACCUCAGUGCCUCUGCAUCCCCAGUGCCAGCGCUGGGCUGGGGCUGCAAAGGAAAAGUCUCUGCAAUCCAUCCUGCCACCGAUGCUGCCUGCAGUGAGUGCAUUGCCCUCAUGACACAACAAGCUCCAGUGGGAAAUCCAAAUCUUCCUGGCCUCUCGGGAAUCAUCACAAAGUGGCCAGAACGUGGCACUUGUCAACUGUCUUUGGAAGAGGAGGAAGAACCGCUGACAUGUGCUGAGCAAGAAUCCCACUUUUGGCAUCAGGCACCUGACUGUGCAGAAUAGUCUGUUGUCUCUUUAUCUGUCUGUCUGCUGUGAAGGAUCUGACUGUCUUCCUCUGGGAGGAACCCCAGGCUGGAGCAGGACAAGGAAUUUGUCUCUCGCAGGGAGAAGCAGUGACAUGACGUGACUGUAACCCCCAUGCCUCUGUGCCACUGUGUGGGGAGGAGGGAGGGGGGAACUGGGGACAAAGCGAAGCCCAGGAAGGAGAGAACAGUGUGGAGAAGGUGCAUUUUUAGGAUUUGGGGAACAUCUGAUUCUCUUGCUCUGAUUUGUUUGAUAAUAAAUUCAAUGAAAUUUAAUUUCCCCAGUCUGGGCCUCUUCUGCCCAUGAUGGGUGAGAGAUGUCUGGCUGCCUUUCUUGAGAGCCCCGAGCCUUUCCUGCUGUGUUCUGUUGCCUGCCCAGGGGCAGGAGCAGAGGCUCAGAGCGCUUUUGCUGGCCGCAGGCACCUGGCCUGGCCCAGCCCAGCCCAAGAAUCCCUGCCAGCAUUCCCUGCACCAUUGCCCGGCCCCACGGCGGCUGCGGCUCCGCGGGCAGGCGGCUCCAGGAGUUCAGAGUGGGCAAAAUGGGAGCGAGGGACAGG